rnacentral:lncRNA from 1 species
CCCAGGUUUGCCUCCCCAGCUGCAUGUGGCACACACGAGGCAUGGUUAGAUGAUCUAUUUUCUAUGUAUGUUUGUAGCCAGUUGUUCAGCUCCACUGUGAUAAAAUCAUGAAUCAUUGUUACUGGAUCUCAGUGAAGCAAAUAUGAUGAGGCAGGAAAAAUUUCUCAGAACACAUACCCCAGAGAGACUACAAAUGAACCAUUGCGUUAUUGUCUUUUUUCAAAUCAUGAGAUCAUUCUGAUUCUUUCACACUUUUUCAUGACACACACUCUUUCAUUCCCCAACUUAUACACACCCCAAGUUCGGUCCUUGUCUUCCUACCCAAACUCUUAACUCAGGACAAACUUUGACUCAAAUGCAGACCCUAAUGUGUGAUACCUAGCCCAUCUAGCCAGUAAGGUGAGGGCCAGAGCUGGCUACAAAAAGACAAUCUUAAUGAAUCCUCUGCUGAAUAGGAAAUGUGCUCUGUUUGUGAAGCUAAUUAACUGAAUUCAUUUAAUUGAAAGAUGGUGCGAGAAUUCUGUUUUCUUUCAGAAAAGGCUGAAGGAAUUGAAGAGAAAAAUCCUCACCCAAUAGCAUGCCCCU